CGCAAUGAUGAACAUACAGAUAGGGACAACUGAUGCAAAGCAAAUGAGGUUGACUGUCGAGAGUAUUUUAGUAGAUGUCUCUCUUAUCUGAUA
rnacentral:snoRNA from 1 species